rnacentral:tRNA from 2 species
GGGCGAUUAGCUCAGCUGGGAGAGCGUCUGCCCUACAAGCAGAGGGUCGUAGGUUCAAGCCCUGCAUCGCCCA